rnacentral:rRNA from 1 species
GGGGGGGAUCAUACCAGCACUAAUGCCCCGGAUCCCAUCAAAACUCCGAAGUUAAGCGUGCUUGGGCGAAAGUAGUACUAGAAUGGGUGACCCCCUGGGAAGUCCUCGUGUUGCCCCCC